rnacentral:rRNA from 1 species
GUGCUACCAUGCAGUCGAACGGCAGCACAGGAGAGCUUGCUCUCUGGGUGGCGAGUGGCGGACGGGUGAGGAAUGCAUCGGAAUCUACUCUUUCGUGGGGGAUAACGUAGGGAAACUUACGCUAAUACCGCAUACGACCUACGGGUGAAAGCCGGGGACCUUCGGGCCUGGCGCGAAUGAAUGAGCCGAUGCCCGAUUAGCUAGUUGGCGGGGUAAGAGCCCACCAAGGCGACGAUCGGUAGCUGGUCUGAGAGGAUGAUCAGCCACACUGGAACUGAGACACGGUCCAGACUCCUACGGGAGGCAGCAGUGGGGAAUAUUGGACAAUGGGCGCAAGCCUGAUCCAGCCAUACCGCGUGGGUGAAGAAGGCCUUCGGGUUGUAAAGCCCUUUUGUUGGGAAAGAAAAGCAAUCGGUUAAUACCCGGUUGUUCUGACGGUACCCAAAGAAUAAGCACCGGCUAACUUCGUGCCAGCAGCCGCGGUAAUACGAAGGGUGCAAGCGUUACUCGGAAUUACUGGGCGUAAAGCGUGCGUAGGUGGUUGUUUAAGUCUGUCGUGAAAGCCCUGGGCUCAACCUGGGAAUUGCGAUGGAAACUGGGCGACUAGAGUGUGGCAGAGGGUAGUGGGAUUCCUGGUGUAGCAGUGAAAUGCGUAAGAUCAGGAGGAACAUCCGUGGCGAAGGCGACUGCCUGGGCCAACACUGACACUGAGGCACGAAAGCGUGGGGAGCAAACAGGAUUAAUACCCUGGUAUCCACGCCCUAAACGAUGCGAACUGGAUGUUGGGUGCAAUUUGGCACGCAUAUCAACUAACGCGUUAAUUCCCGCCUGGGGAUACGGUCCAAACUGAAACUCAAAGGAAUUGACG